UACGGAGGGGGCUAGCGUUGUUCGGAAUUACUGGGCGUAAAGAGCUCGUAGGUGGUUUGUCGCGUUGUUCGUGAAAACCGGGGGCUUAACCCUCGGCGUGCGGGCGAUACGGGCAGACUUGAGUACUGCAGGGGAGACUGGAAUUCCUGGUGUAGCGGUGGAAUGCGCAGAUAUCAGGAGGAACACCGGUGGCGAAGGCGGGUCUCUGGGCAGUAACUGACGCUGAGGAGCGAAAGCGUGGGGAGCGAACAGG
rnacentral:rRNA from 1 species